GAAAUGCGAUAAGUAAUGUGAAUUGCAGAAUUCAGUGAAUCAUCGAAUCUUUGAACGCACAUUGCGCCCCCUGGUAUUCCGGGGGGCAUGCCUGUUCGAGCGUCAUUUCACCACUCAAGCCUCGCUUGGUAUUGGGCGACGCGGUCCGCCGCGCGCCUCAAAUCGACCGGCUGGGUCUUCCGUCCCCUCAGCGUUGUGGAAACUAUUCGCUAAGGGGUGCCGCGGGAGGUCACGCCGCAAAACAACCCCAUUUCUAAGGUUGACCUCGGAUCAGGUAGGGAUACCCGCUGAACUUAAGC
rnacentral:misc_RNA from 1 species